CGGCCAUAUGAGAAAACGUCGGAACUCAUCCGAUCGCCGAAGUUAAGCAAAGCUGAACCUGGUCAGUAUCUAGAUGGGUGACCGUUCGGGAAUACCAUGUUCUGUAA